GGCCUAAUGGUUUAAUAGAGAGAGGGAUCACGUUUCGUUAACAUUUCAUGUUAACGCCGAAAAGGUCCUCAGUUCGAGUCUGGGCUUGGUCA